CAUGUAAGAUAUGACAGUGCUCCUCCUUCACCUUCUGUCAUGAUUGUGAGUCCUCCACAGCCAUGUGGAACUCCAUGAGUAUGACUAUGUGCUGAGUCCUGUGAGUCCUCCUACUGAAUCAUCAAAGCCAGAGGGGAAAGCUGUUUUUCCCUCUUUGGGGUCUCAGAGAGAUUGGUGGCAAGGACUCCUGGGAAGAGAAAAGCUGAAGGACACUCUGGCAAGAGGUACCACCUCUCACUGGCUGCCCAAGCAAGAUUCUAUGGCUUGGAAUAAUUCUCACCCACUCGCUCAUCAAAGGGCAUCUAUCUAGAAGCCCUGCUCCUUCAGGGACAUCUGAGGUUGAUGAGCUGAUCCAAUAAGCCAUCAGAGCUGGAAUAUUAGUAGUUAACAAUGGCUCUCUGCACUCUUUUUAAAUAACUUUGCUUUUCAGGCCAAGGUGAAAGCCUCGUGGGAAUUUCACACAUUUUAUAGAAGCAGAGGAGUGCUAUUUGAGCAAGGGGUAGAUAACACCUACACUCCACUCAGGAUUUCCAAGCAUAGCCUGAGGCAGAAGUACUCAUACUUCACUACAGAAUCACCUGGGGAGUUUUAACCUUCUGAUUCUAGUGUUCCCCUCCGGCAGAUGGAGACAGAAACAACUUGAGUGGGCUCAGGAAUCUGUGUUUUUAAAAUUCUCCAGAAGAUUUUAAUGCAAUACAAGUAAGAAGACAGGACUACAAUUCACAAGAACAGUAUAUCCUGGGGAUUCCUCAGAACAGAACACACUCAAAAAAAAAAAA
rnacentral:lncRNA from 1 species